GUAAUUUAUUUUAAUUAAUAAUGCAUACAUCUUACUAAUAAUCUAUUUAUAUAAUAAUCUAUUUAUAUAAUAAUCUAUAAAUAUUAUAUAAUAAUACUUAUAUAAUUAGUAUUAUUAUUUAAUAGCAACAGUUAUUCACA
rnacentral:misc_RNA from 1 species